CAGGGAGACAAAAAAUUGAUUGUGAUGUCUAAGUAUUUUCUCUUAGGCCGCAAUCCUGUCACCUUAGGUCGAUCGGUACCUCAGAUUAAUUUUAUUUUUAAUAAAUUGAUUUCAGUUCCUAAACUUGUCUAGGUCACACCCAACAAGGGUCUCCUGGGCCAUUAGCUCAGGUGGUUAGAGCGCACCCCUGAUAAGGGUGAGGUCCCUGGUUCAAGUCCAGGAUGGCCCAUUCGAUGUUUGGGGGUAUAGCUCAGUUGGUAGAGCGCCUGCUUUGCAAGCAGGAUGUCAGCGGUUCGAGUCCGCUUACCUCCACUGAUCAAUCUCCCUAACUACGAAAUUAUCAGGAUUAUUCCUGUUUGAUGUGAUUUAGAGUUGUUUUAUAUGAAUUUGACCCUAGCCUCCUAUCAUCCCACAUUUAAUUCACAACAUUAGAUUUGGUUGAUAAGAUGCUGGGCUCCACUAGUGAAUCUAAAUGUAUUCCUAGAAGUUCAGUAGAACCUUGACAACUGCAUAGGUAAGUCUGGAAAAGAGAAUUAAAGCAUCUCAUAGAACUAUUGUUCGAAAAAUUAGAAUUUCUAAUUUUUCGAAUAAUUAUCAAUUCUUGAGCAAGAGCAAAUACUCUAUUAAUUAUUUAGGUUUAAAACCUUAAUUAAUUUAUAGAGAUAAU
rnacentral:tRNA from 1 species